rfam:Oryza barthii chromosome 3, whole genome shotgun sequence.
AAUAAGUGCAGUUUUGCACUAUUCACGUUCAACGUUUAACAUUCGUCUUAUUUGAAAUUUUUUUAUGAUUAGUAUUUUUAUUGCUAUUAGAUGAUAAAAUAUGAAUAAUACUUUAUGUGUAAUUAAAUAUUUUUAAUUUUUUAAAUAAGACGGACGGUCAAACGUUGGACACGAUAUCUACUAAUGCACUUAUU